rnacentral:lncRNA from 1 species
UAACUUGGCAUUCAAGGUAAAAACAAAUUGGAUAAAAAUUCUGGAAAAGGUUUCGAAGAGCUGAGAUGAGAAUACUCAAGAAUUCUUGUAUUUUUGGGUAAAAAUUAGUCUGGUUUUUGCAAUUGAUCCCCAUUUUGAAAUCUUUAAAAAACUUUCUGUUUUAUUGUGGGAUUUAAAGAAUGAUUUGAAGGUUGUUGGUCACUAUUCUAUUGCUGGUUUUGAGUUGAUUUUGUUGUUGUUUCUUCUUUGCUGAAUUGCUCUUGCUACUGAUUCAUAACUUCAGGAUUUGGUGUUGUUUAUUUUCUGUAAACAGGUAGUCUCAAAAUGCCAUGGACAUCACCUAGGUGUAUUUGAAGUUUGGGUCUUAAAUUUGAAUAAGAAAUGACGAAAUUCAUAUUAAAUCUUAUUCCUUUUGUUCAACCUCAUAUAUGCCUGUAAUAUUCAGCCUUAAAAUUGUUUCAAUUAGUAUAAUGAUCUAAGUUUAC